UCUUGAAUCUUCGGCAAUGUACGGAAGUAUGACCGAGCGACGCCGCGUGGAGGCUAAGGCCUUUUGGUUGUAAACUCCUGUCAGGAUCUAGGAAUGCCUCAAGGCAAACAGUUUUGGGGUUGACCAGGUCCAAAGGAAGCCACAGCUAACUUCGUGCCAGCAGCUGCGGUAAUACGAAGGUGGCAAGCGUUAUUCGGAUUGACUGGGCUUAAAGGGCGCGUAGGUGGCUUGGUAAGUCGGGUGUGAAAUCCCCGGGCUCAACUCGGGAAUUGCGCUUGAUACUUCCAAGCUAGAGUAAGGUAGGGGGUCGAGGAACUCACGGUGGAGCGGUGAAAUGCGUAGAGAUCGUGGGGAACACCGGAGGCGAAGGCGUCGACCUGGGCCUUUACUGACACUGAGGCGCGAAAGCGUGGGGAGCAAACA
rnacentral:rRNA from 1 species